AAAGAAUGCAGACCGUGAUGCACUGUUCUGUGGGUGUUAGUCUGCUGUCAAUCACACAGGGUUUUUGCUGUUAGAAAACGUUGAUAUGAAUAGUCCUUGGGUAAGGUUUCCAUUAUGAAUAGUCCUUGGGUAAGGUUUCCAUUAUGAAUAGUCCUUGGGUAAGGUUUCCAUUAUGAAUAGUCCCGGGGUAAGGUUUCCAUUAUGAAUAGUCCUUGGGUAAGGUUUCCAUUAUGAAUAGUCCUGGGGUAAGGUUUCCAUUAUGAAUAGUCCUUGGGUAAGGAUUCCAUUAUGAAUAGUCCUUGGGUAAGGUUUCCAUUAUGAAUAGUCCUUGGGUAAGGUUUCCAUUAUGAAUAGUCCUGGG
ensembl:lncRNA